AGCUAAAAACUUAGCCUUACCCUACAAUUAUAUUUACCCUAUUUUACUUACACAAAAUAAAACAUUCUUUAAGCUUAGUAAAGGAGAUAAAAAAGUUUUUUAGAGCUAUAAAAUAAGUACCGCAAGGGAAAAAUGAAAUAAAAAUGAAACAAAAUUCAAGCAUAAUAUAGUAGAGCUUUCCCCUCGUACCUUUUGCAUCAUGAUUCAACUAGUUUAACCACGCAAAAAGAGUUUAAGUUUGACUUCCCGAAACUAAGUGAGCUACUUCAGGGCAGCUAAAUGAGCCAACCCGUCUCUGUUGCAAAAGAGUGGGGUGACCCUUAAGUAGAGGUGAUAAGCCUAACGAACUUAGUGAUAGCUGGUUAUUCAGGAAAAGAAUUUUAGUUCAAUUUAAAAUUACAUAAAUAAAAUAAAAUAAAAUUUUAAUUUUAAAGCAAUUCAAAUAAGGUACAGCCUAUUUGAAAUAGAAUACAAUCUAAACUAUAGGGUAAAUAUAAAAAUUAAUACAAUAAAGUAGGCCUAAAAGCAGCCAACUUUAAAAUAGCGUCAAAGCUUACUUCCAUAAAUUUUUAAUACCAUUAUUCACAAUAAACCCUUUAUUUUCACUGAAUAUUUCUAUAAAAUUAUAGAACCUUUUAUGUUGAAACUAGUAACAAGAAGUUAAACUUCUCCUUAAUGUAAGUAUAAGUCGACUAGGAUGAACCAUCGACAAUUAACGCUAAAAUUAAAUGUAUUAACUCCACAAGAAAAACUUACAUUACCCCACGUUAAUCUUACACCAGAACAUUUAAGGAAAGAUUUAAAAAAAAGGAAGGAACUCGGCAAACAUUAACCCCGCCUGUUUACCAAAAACAUCGCCUUCUGAUAUACUAUAGAAGGUCCAGCCUGCCCAGUGAAUUAAUUUAACGGCCGCGGUAUCCUAACCGUGCGAAGGUAGCGUAAUCACUUGUUCUUUAAAUAAGGACUAGUAUGAAUGGCACCACGAAGGUUAUACUGUCUCCCUUUUUUGAUCAGUUAAACUAAUCUUCACGUGAAGAAGCGUGAAUAAAUAUAUAAGACGAGAAGACCCUAUGGAGCUUAAAAUUACACAACAAUUGCUAAAAAAUCCUAAAUUUUAUGAAUAAUUUUUUACUAAACACCAUGAUUGCUAAUUUUUGGUUGGGGUGACCGCGGAGUAAAAAUUAACCUCCACAAUGAAAGAAAUUAAUAUUCUAAACUAAGAGCUACAACUCAAAGUAUUAAUAUUUUAACAUUCUUUGAUCCAAUAUUUGAUCAACGAACAAAGUUACCCUAGGGAUAACAGCGCAAUCUACUUUGAGAGCUCCUAUCGACAAGUAGGUUUACGACCUCGAUGUUGGAUCAGGGUAUCCUAGUGGUGCA
rnacentral:rRNA from 1 species